UGGGGUAGAUGAUUGGGGUGAAGUCGUAACAAGGUAGCCGUAUCGGAAGGUGCGGCUGGAUCACCUCCUUU
rnacentral:rRNA from 1 species